rnacentral:sRNA from 1 species
CAGCAUUCUUGGAGGCCUUAAGCUACCUAAGCAGACGUAAUCUGGCGAGUCACUACCCAAUAUGAUUUAUUUUUUCUUUUGGUGAGAAGCUUCUAUACAUGAACUGCCAAGUUUUGACUCCCGAUAGUUAGGUUGCUACCGACCGUCUACCACUGUUUUAGUCAGGCAGGUGGUGACCGCACUCUUUUGUUGCAGAACAAUGUUGGCAGGGUUGUGGGCGGAACGAGAUUUUGUCGGCCAGCUUGAUCUGAGAUAGAAUACCUGGAACUGACAGAAACAUCCUGUCUUAGAGACUGGAUCCUCCAUGAACCUCUCCACUUCAUCCUAGUUGAAAAUCACAAUAUGUAUUUUUUAUCUCACUUCUGGCUUUAUGGCGAUGAUACGACUGUGGCUGAAGAUAAAUUUUUGCCUGUCUUUCAAUUGGUUUCAUCUUACGUUCGAUUAUCCCCUUCUUUGACACUCUCUACCUAGCAUUCUGCAGGGGAUCGUUAGGAGGGAGUAACACUUUAAUUAACCCCUUUCGUACC